CCUACGGGUGGCUGCAGUGGGGAAUAUUGGGCAAUGGGCGCAAGCCUGACCCAGCAACGCCGCGUGAAGGAAGAAGGCUUUCGGGUUGUAAACUUCUUUUUUCAGGGACGAAGCAAGUGACGGUACUUGAGGAAUUAGCCACGGCUAACUACGUGCCAGCAGCCGCGGGAAUACGUAGGUGGCAAGCGUUAUCCGGAUUUACUGGGUGUAAAGGGCGUGUAGGCGGGAAAGCAAGUCAGAUGUGAAAACCAUGGGCUCAACCUGUGGCCUGCAUUUGAAACUGGUUUUCUUGAGUACUGGAGAGGCAGACGGAAUUCCUGGUGUAGCGGUGAAAUGCGUAGAUAUUACGAAGAACACCGGUGGCGAAGGCAGUCUGCUGGACAGCAACUGACGCUGAAGCGCGAAAGCGUGGGGAGCGAACAGGAUUAGAUACCCGAGUAGUC
rnacentral:rRNA from 1 species